UACGUAGGGGGCAAGCGUUGUCCGGAAUCAUUGGGCGUAAAGAGCGUGUAGGCGGCUCGAUAAGUCUGCUGUGAAAGUCCAGGGCUCAACCCUGGAAGGCCGGUGGAAACUGUCGGGCUAGAGUCCGGAAGAGGCGAGUGGAAUUCCCGGUGUAGCGGUGAAAUGCGCAGAUAUCGGGAGGAACACCAGUGGCGAAGGCGGCUUCCUGGACCUGUUCUGACACUGAGGAGCGAAAGCGUGGGGAGCGAUCCGG
rnacentral:rRNA from 1 species